GCUUAACUCUACUUUUUAUUCACUGUCAGACAAGACAGUAAGAGCUCCCCCUGUGCUUAGCACAGAAACUGAAUCUAUCAGAACAUCUAGAGCCCCAAAUCUCCAUUUUACCAAGAAGCCUGUGUGAGAGAGAUCCAACACACCCCUGCCAACAGAUACAGGAAAGCCUGAACCUAGGCCUUGAUGCAUGUGUGGUUGGUGUCUAGUUUUGCUUGUUUGUGGAUUAUUUCCCAACCUUCUUUCUCGGGUAGCUCUAUAAACUCAAGAGGGAUUGUCACAUCCCCGCUGGGAAGGCUCAGUUCUCCCAGGCUUAUGAACUCCCCACCCAG